rfam:Oryza sativa Japonica Group DNA, chromosome 10, cultivar: Nipponbare, complete sequence.
UUUGCAAUGAUGACAAAAACGAUUGGAUGAUGUACUUUGAUUAACUCAUAAAUCGCAAUGCUCUGAGCGAC